rnacentral:rRNA from 1 species
GACGAACGCUGGCGGCGUGCUUAACACAUGCAAGUCGAACGGUGAAGGGACCGGUUUUUGCUGGUUCUGGUUGAGUGGCGUACGUGUGAGUAACACGUGUUUAACCUGCCCCCUUCUUCUGGUUAACCUCAUGAAAGCGUGGCUAAUACGGGAUAUUCUGAGCCUGCUGCAUGGUGGGUGUGGGAAAGUUAAUGUUUCGGUGGGGGUUGGGCUCGCGGCCUAUUAGCUUGUUGGUGGGGUGAUGGCCUACCAAGGCGGUGACGGGUAGCCGGCUUGGGAGGGUGGACGGUAAAAGAGGGACUGAGACACAGACCAGACUACUAAGGGAGGCAGCAGUGGGGAAUAUUACACAAUGGGCGCAAGCCUGAUGCAGCGACGCCGCGUGAGGGAUAGAGACCAUCGGGUAGUAAACAUCUUUCGCCAGUGAAGCAGGACUGUCCCAAUAGUGGGUGGGUUGACGGUAGCGGGAUAAGAAGCGACGAUAAAUAAGUG